AUGUAUAGCAUUUACAAGCUUUUCGAAACAAUUAAUACACUUUUCUGUAUGCUUGUCCUUUGAAAUACUUCGUCUUUGAAGACCAGUGUUACAUAGAGGACAUUUAGUAUUUUUCUGACUUAGUACAGUUCCUAUACAUGUGCGACAAAAAGAAUGUCCACAUCUUGUCUUUACGGGUGAAGAAAUCAUAUCCAAACUAUAAAAAAAUCAAUAAUUAUAUAUCAAGUUAUAAAUGAUUUAUUUUUCUAAAUGUAGAAGAAAUAUAAGUGACAUUUAAUUUAAUAUUACAAAGAAUAUGCUUUAAUGUAUCUAUAAAGAUAUACAAAGAUCAGUUCUUUGCAUAUACAUUUCAAAAUGCAUAAAAACUAUUGUAGAAUUAUAUAUACACACACACACACAUAUAUAUAUAUAUAUAUAUAUAAUUAUCAAUCUAUUACAAUAUAAUACACAUAAUAGCAAAAGAGCGUUAUCUUAUCACAAUGCCUUUUUUAACCUCUGAUCUAAGUGACCAGGGAAAAAGAGGGAAAAAGAGAAAAAAAAUAAAAAAAGAAAAAAAAAGAAAGAAAAGAUAAAAAUCCAAUAAAUAAAACAUCAAAAAUUACGUUUAUGACGAUCGGUAAUCGUGAAAAUUUUAUCGACAGUCAUUCUCGUGCCAAUCAAUUUAUUUUAUUUGUUUUCUAUUUUUAUGACAGAAAAUAUGCUUACCAAAUUCUGCAUUGUAGACAAUUAUGAAUAGACUUAACUGCGUCGUAUAAAGUGUCAAUGGACGCAAUUUGAUCCUCCGUCAUUUUCUCGUUUAUUAAAAUGUAAUAGGAAGUAACCAAAAAAAAAAAAAAAAAAAUAUUUCACUAUCCAAACAUAGUUACAUAUUUGAUUUCACAAACUCGUAACACAACCUAUACACCUCCAUUUCAUCUUUCUUCGUCAAGGAGUAGUUUUGGGUCCCUUACGUUAUAUGACAAUGCGAAGUUUCUAAAUUUCACCGCAACACAUUUGUAGCGCUGCGAAUACAAGCUUAGUAUUAUUUGAGAAAUUCGCGGGGAAUAAAUUAAUCGAGAUAUUUAAAAAAAAAAAAACACAUAUAUAUAUAUAUACAUAUUUAAUUUUCCCGACAAAUAAAUAAAUUCAUUUGUUUAUCCAUUCGUUAUUAACUCCAAUGUAAACUUUUGAUACAACGUUGAUUUGUUGUAUCGUUGUAAUAAAAAAAAUAAAAAAAUAAUUAAAAAGCAAGGAAAGAACAAAAAAGAAAAACAAAAAAAAGGAAAAAAGAAACAAAAAGGAAUAUUAAAAGAAACAAUAAAGAAACAUUAUUUUCGCGAAUAUUUAAAACAAAUCCAACGAACUAUUCGAGAUGAAUUAUCAUCGAUCUAAUAUCGAUCGUUCGAUAUUUGGCGGGCCCUUUCCACCAUCGAGAUUUGGCGGGCUCUACUGCGCAUGUCAGUCCGCCAUCUUGUGACGUAGUACGCCGUACACGAGAAGGUAGAGGUUACGCAAUAAACCGGUCCACGAGUCGCGUCAGUCUUUGUUGGUAUGUCGAGCUGUGAUGUAGUGCCGGUAACGUCUCGUGCUAGUGAUCAUUAUUAUUAGUGUUAAUAUAUAAAAGUAAAAUAAAAUAGAUCGUUUCGCGUUUUAUGCAUCACUUUAUUUCUCACUUUCUCUUUUGUAUUUUAUUAAAGGAAAAAUACAUAGGACGGAAGAAUAAAAUCUUGUCUUUUUUUUUUUUUAUUGGUAUCCCAACUACGAAAUAUGGCGUCUUUUUAUUUCAAGGACGAGUGCAUAGACCAGUGUUGCAGUCUCAUCUUGGAUAAACUAUUCCUCGAAAAGGUGAAGAUUUUUAACGAAAGAUGAAAAAAAUUAACGACGAUGUCGUGCUGUGAAAUGAUUUUUAUCGGAAUGACCUGUUGAUGACGUUAUGGGGUGGUUCGUCCUCGCUUGUAUUUUAAUACUUUUCAUAUGCGAAGACAUCCAAUGUUCUCUGAGGAUAAUCCUGAGAUAAGAAGAUUAAUUAUUUACAGAAGAAGUUUUAACAUCAGAACGGUCUAUGGACACGGUAAUCGCCCCGACCGUGGUCAACAGCCAUGUUGCAAGGACAUCUAGGAUACAAACAAAAAAAAAUAUAUAUAUAUAUACAUAUAUAUAUAUAUAAUCAUUUUAUCUUAAUUAUUUCUAUUUCGUAUGUAAUAGGAUCAUUUGAUUGCAUUUAUAAAAACUAAUUUCAAACAAUAGACCACUAAUUGUAUAAAAUCAUUAAUUUUUAAUGGUAUAUAUAUAUAUAUAUAUAUAUAUAUAUAUGUAUGUAUGUACUUACAAUUUGAUAUCCGUUUCAACGACAUCGUGGCAGACCAUGAGAUCAUUUAUUCGAGAAUUCUGUAAUAUAAAACGAUAAAUAGACGAUUAUCUGUGUUAAGAUUACUUUUAAGUGGACGAUUAAUCGAAAGUUUGAAAAGUCAGGGUUCUCUAAUGGAAAGUAUAUCGUCGAAAGCGGAACAGGAGGAUUAAGAGGAAAGAAAGAAAGAGAGAGAGAGAUAGAGAGAGAGAAAAGGUAGAUCGAAGGAGUUUAGUAUGUACCCAGAUCCUUUAUGAUACUAGAAGAGGAGUAUAUUUUUCUUUAGAAUUAUGAUACAGGGAGAAAGGAAAUAUAGAAAGCGCCGGACAUCUAUCAUCAUUUUUAGGAUCGUUUCCGCAGCGCGGUUUCUCGUUUCUAUGUUAUAUAUACAUAUACGUACGUACAUACGUAUAUGUAUAUAUCGAAGUAAUAACGAAAUUCAGAAAGUAGAAAGAAUUUUAACCUUUUUUCUUUUUUUCUUCAUGAAAAAGAAAUAAAAUAAAGUUGGUCAACUUUUUUUCGCGACUUGUAAAAAUGAAGAAAAAAGAAAAGAUUUCGACGUAAAUCGAGUUAUCAUAAGCGAGUAAAAAAAGAAAAAAAAAAAAAGGAAAGAAAGGAAAAAGAUGUGAAUUAAUUGAUUAAGAAAAAUCAAUAUUAAAAUGAAAAAAAAAAAAAAAAAAAAAAAAAAAAAAAGAAGAAGAAGAAGAAGAAGAAAAACCAAACCAAAGACAAACGGGGGAAGAAAAAAAAAAAGAAAUAAGAAGAAAGAAUGAAUCGAUUGAAAAUAAAUUUUUAUUGUUAUCUCGAUCAUCUUUGAUAUCAAUUGUCCUUUGUCUUGGAAUGAUCUUUUUUUCUUUUCCUUCUUCUUUUUUUUUUUUUCUUUUUCUUCUCUUACAGAAUUUUAAUCAAAGAGAGCGAUCAUCAUCGGAAGAUCGUGAUAUUCGAAUUCAUGCAUUGAAGCGUAUUAAUAUCAUUACUAUAAAUUAUCUUGUUCGUCCUUUAUGCGAAUUAGUUUAUGUGUAUCAUUACAUGUCAGUUAUCAUUCCGAACGACGACGCAUAUCCACAAUCGUUUGAUUCGCUGGCGAAAGGAAAUCGUGCUGCAUGAUACGAGAAAUGUCACUUUUGUUACAAAAGUUUUACAAAGGGAAAGUUUAUAUUCAUUGUUUUCGACGAUUUCCUUUUUCUUUUCGACUAGAUUAAAUAUAGAGAAAUGAUUUAAUUUUUUUUUUAGCGAUUAACAAUUCAAUACAAUAAUCGUUUCAAUAAUAUAAAUUAAAUAAAUGAUUUAAAAAAAAAAAAAAAAAAAAACAAAAAAAAGUAAAUAGAGAACAUUAACGAUUAAUUGAUUGAAUUAAAAAGAAAAAUAAUAUCAAUAAUAUUAUACGUAUAAUAUGAAUAAAAUAAAAAUUGUUUAAGAACGAAUAGGUUAAGAUGAAGGAUUGAGAAGAAGAAAAAAAGAAAAGAACGAAAUAAAAUAGAAGAUAAAACAGAUUGAGGUGGAUUGAAAAUGUCGGAAUAAAAAAAAUAAAAUGUGAGAUAAUUAAUAAAACAAAAGGAAAACUUUCUUUUUUUUUCUUUUCUUUUUUUUUUUUUUUUU